CAUAACGACUCUCGGCAACGGAUAUCUCGGCUCUCGCAUCGAUGAAGAACGCAGCGAAAUGCGAUACUUGGUGUGAAUUGCAGAAUCCCGUGAACCAUCGAGUCUUUGAACGCAAGUUGCGCCCGAAGCCGUCAGGCCGAGGGCACGUCUGCCUGGGCGU
rnacentral:rRNA from 1 species